rnacentral:rRNA from 1 species
CAGCCGCCGCGGUAAUACGUAGGGUGCGAGCGUUAAUCGGAAUUACUGGGCGUAAAGCGUGCGCAGGCGGUUGUGUAAGACAGGUGUGAAAUCCCCGGGCUUAACCUGGGAACUGCGCUUGUGACUGCACAGCUAGAGUAUGGCAGAGGGGGGUGGAAUUCCACGUGUAGCAGUGAAAUGCGUAGAGAUGUGGAGGAACACCGAUGGCGAAGGCAGCCCCCUGGGCCAAUACUGACGCUCAUGCACGAAAGCGUGGGGAGCAAACAGGAUUAGAUACCCGCGUAGUCCCUGUCUCUUAUAC